UCCGAUAUGGUGUAGUGGCUAACAUUAUCGCCUCUCAUAAUGCUAAUAUCUUGACGCGAUAGCCCGGGGUUCGAUUCCCCGUGUCGGAA